AUAGACUAGACUCCCAACUAGAACUAGAGAACAUGCAUGAGAACUAUCUAGGCUCUCUGCAUAAUAUGAUGACAUCCAAAUCAUUCAUUGAAUGGAGAGGUUGAGCUGGUGCCUGCAUAGAGCCUUCACCUCUACAUUCUACUCUGACAUAAGAAGGACUGAGUGGAGCACACUGCAUUCUUUCUACACUUUGUUUCCAUCACCCCGAAGAG